rnacentral:rRNA from 1 species
CCUACGGGAGGCAGCAGUGGGGAAUCUUGCGCAAUGGGGGAAACCCUGACGCAGCAACGCCGCGUGGGUGAUGAAGGCCUUCGGGUCGUAAAGCCCUGUCAGGUGGGAAGAAACUUGUGGAUGUUAAUACCAUCCAUGCUUGACGGUACCACCGGAGGAAGCACCGGCUAACUCCGUGCCAGCAGCCGCGGUAAUACGGAGGGUGCAAGCGUUGUUCGGAAUUAUUGGGCGUAAAGCGCGUGUAGGUGGUCGUGUAAGUCAGAUGUGAAAGUCUUCUGCU